GAGGUCACACUACAGAAAUGAUACGUCUAUUGGGAGAAUUAGACCCACAACGCUACGCGCCGGUAAGUUACGUCGUUGCCGACAGCGAUGUAACGUCCAUCCC
rnacentral:ribozyme from 1 species